rnacentral:ncRNA from 2 species
UUAUUUUUUUUGAAGCUGGGUAUUAGCCAUUUUCCGAUCAAAUCGGAAGAGAAGGUUAGUUUUUAUACGGGAACACUGUGUGAAUCAGUGACUGUGCCGCAGCGGUUAACCCGAACAAAUUUUCGUCAAGAAAAUUUGCGCGGGUAAAGUCCGAAGACCGACCCAACUUCCAUUUUUUUG